AGGACUGAAAAUCCCAGCAGAAUUUAUCAGCCCCUUUCCCCAUCUCGUAAGAGGACUUCGACGGAGAGGCAGCUCUGGAAGCAGCAAGGUCUUAGGCAGAAAUCAGGAGAAAGUGCACUGCCCUCCCUCAGGAUUGCUUCCGGAUCUGCCAAGAUGCUGCAAGCUUCUGCUGGAAGACCCAGGAACAGGUGUUGUCUGUGAGGAGUCGUAGGUGGCAAGCGACAGAAACCCCCUCUAACUGAUCAAAGCUGGAAGGAUAUUUUUUGGACAGGCUGACUCGCCUCAUGGCUGCAAGAUGGCUGCCAGCAGCAGAUCUAGCACUUGCUUCUUCGGUCACGUCCAGAGAGAAGGAGAGGAAACCUUUUCCUUUCAGUUUGAACUGGGAGGACCCACCUCUUCCCAGGAAUUCUGGCAGGGCUGCUCAGGGACCGUGACAGAGAUGGAGCCUGGCUGUGAGCCCCAGAUGGCGUGGACGGGACAGGGGUGGAGCCCGCCGGCUGGGUCCCAGGACAGAGCAGCGCAGGUGACAGACAGAGGGACGGAGGAGCGGCGUUCUAGAGCGUGAGGUGAAGGAUCUGCUGGGGGGACCGGGAAGACGCCGGUUGGGGUCCCUGCCCUGCAGUAGGACACUCUGCCACUGUUGUCACAAGUGAUACAAGUCUCACCCGCAGCUGAAACAAUGGCCACAAAGGCUGCGGCUUCCAGUCCUGAGGGCCACCCCUGGGAACUGGAACUGUUUGCUUCCUCAGGCGCAGCCUCGAUUUUCAUGGGAGAAAAGC